rnacentral:rRNA from 1 species
GAGCGAGUGAAACUAACUGAUCCCUCCGGGGUGACGUUAGUGGAUCUAGCGGCGGACGGGUGAGUAACACGUGGGCAACCUGCCUGUAAGACUGGGAUAACUCGCGGAAACGCGAGCUAAUACCGGAUGAUACUUUGAACUGCAUGGUUCGAAGAUGAAAGGCGGCGCAAGCUGUCACUUACAGAUGGGCCCGCGGCGCAUUAGCUAGUUGGUGAGGUAACGGCUCACCAAGGCGACGAUGCGUAGCCGACCUGAGAGGGUGAUCGGCCACACUGGGACUGAGACACGGCCCAGACUCCUACGGGAGGCAGCAGUAGGGAAUCUUCCGCAAUGGACGAAAGUCUGACGGAGCAACGCCGCGUGAGUGAUGAAGGUUUUCGGAUCGUAAAACUCUGUUGUUAGGGAAGAACAAGUACAAGAGUAACUGCUUGUACCUUGACGGUACCUAACCAGAAAGCCCCGGCUAACUACGUGCCAGCAGCCGCGGUAAUACGUAGGGGGCAAGCGUUGUCCGGAAUUAUUGGGCGUAAAGCGCGCGCAGGCGGUCCUUUAAGUCUGAUGUGAAAGCCCACGGCUUAACCGUGGAGGGUCAUUGGAAACUGGAGGACUUGAGUACAGAAGAGGAGAGUGGAAUUCCACGUGUAGCGGUGAAAUGCGUAGAGAUGUGGAGGAACACCAGUGGCGAAGGCGACUCUCUGGUCUGUAACUGACGCUGAGGCGCGAAAGCGUGGGGAGCGAACAGGAUUAGAUACCCUGGUAGUCC